rnacentral:rRNA from 1 species
GAUGAACGCUAGCGAUAGGCUUAACACAUGCAAGUCGAGGGGCAGCACAAGGUAGCUUGCUAUCUGGGUGGCGACCGGCGCACGGGUGCGUAACGCGUAUGCAACUUGCCCUAUACAGGAGGAUAACCCGUCGAAAGACGGACUAAUACUGCGUAUGCUCACAACUUGGCAUCAAGUGGUGAGGAAAGAAAUUCGGUAUAGGAUAGGCAUGCGUCCCAUUAGCUUGUUGGUGAGGUAACGGCUCACCAAGGCAACGAUGGGUAGGGGAACUGAGAGGUUUAUCCCCAACACUGGUACUGAGACACGGACCAGACUCCUACGGGAGGCAGCAGUGAGGAAUAUUGGUCAAUGGGCGCGAGCCUGAACCAGCCAAGUCGCGUGAAGGAUGACUGUCUUAUGGAUUGUAAACUUCUUUUAUACGGGAAUAACAAGAGUCACGUGUGACUCCCUGCAUGUACCGUAUGAAUAAGCAUCGGCUAACUCCGUG